GACCUCAAAUCAGGUAAGACUACCCGCUGAACUUAAGCAUAUCAAUAAGCGGAGGAAAAGAAACCAACAGGGAUUGCCUUAGUAACGGCGAGUGAAGCGGCAAAAGCUCAAAUUUGAAAUCUGGCAGUAAUGUCCGAGUUGUAAUUUGAAGAAGGUAACUUUGGUGAUAGCUCUUGCAUAUGUUCCUUGGAACAGGACGUCAUAGAGGGUGAGAAUCCCGUAUAUGGUGAGAUGACAUAUUACUAUGUAAAGUGCCUUCGAAGAGUCGAGUUGUUUGGGAAUGCAGCUCUAAGUGGGUGGUAAAUUCCAUCUAAAGCUAAAUAUUGGCGAGAGACCGAUAGCGAACAAGUACAAUGAUGGAAAGAUGAAAAGAACUUUGAAAAGAGAGUGAAAAAGUACGUGAAAUUGUUGAAAGGGAAGGGC
rnacentral:rRNA from 1 species